CCCCGCGAAGGCCUGGAGCUGCCUCGUCAUCUUGUGAGGUGACGAUGCGAGCGCGUGCUCCGAAGCGAAAACGGCGACUCCAGCACCGUUGUGCGAGCCGCCGUCGAUCUGCACUCGAUCCGGUACGGCUUCCCCUCCGCGCGGGAAGAUGGCGCAUGGCCUUCCCUUCACGCCAAAAUCCUCCAUAAAUCCAUCCCUCAACGGAGGUCCGCUCGUGCCCUGCCCUCCGGUUGCGCGCCUCCUCGCCGACGGCGCCCCUCCUCGGGCUCCAACCCACACCGGCGGCGCCCCUCCUCCGGCUCCAACCCACGCCAGCGCGCCCCUCCUCCGCCGCCACCCACACCGACGUGGUCCUCAGAGCCCCUCCUGCGCCACCCCUCGUGUUCCUUUGUCUGCAGGGAGAAUAUCAGUCAGUCUUCAGAAUGCUAUUAAACAGCAGCAGCAGCAGCAGUAUUUGAGAGAAGGCGGCCAGACCGGCGGUGCACGGUGGAUCGAUCCUCGUGCUAAAUUCAAUUAGCUAGGCAUCAAAAUAAUCUCCCUCCCUAUGUCAUCGGGUUUGUGGUACGGUACCACGUUUCCUGUACCCGAACGUCGUUCCCGUACCAGAAACAUGGUACAAUUUCAUCCCCUCGUUAAAAUCUCUCUUGAGUAACGCCCUCCUGCUAGUGAACUUGAUAGAUUUCUUCGAUAUUAUGGAACGUGCCACAUUAGCACGAUCUACUUUA